AGAAGAAUGUGUCGUCUGUCGUGG
rnacentral:siRNA from 1 species